rnacentral:rRNA from 1 species
UACGUAGGGUGCAAGCGUUGUCCGGAAUUAUUGGGCGUAAAGAGCUUGUAGGCGGUUUGUCGCGUCUGCUGUGAAAUUUCGGGGCUCAACCCCGAACUUGCAGUGGGUACGGGCAGACUAGAGUGUGGUAGGGGAGACUGGAAUUCCUGGUGUAGCGGUGAAAUGCGUAGAUAUCGAGAGGAACACCUGCGGCGAAGGCGGGUUGCUGGGCUGAUACUGACGCUGAUGCGCGAAAGCCAGGGGAGCGAACGGG